GACUAGGGGCCGGGGUCGGACCCCAGUGGAGUAGCAGGGUCUGGGCGUGGAGAGCUCGGCGCCGCACGGGGUGGGGGCGCGCGGAGGACGCGCGCGCGGGAGGGCCCCGCCUUGGCCGGCUCUCUCCCUUCCCCCUCCGCCCCCGGACGGCCGCUGGGGCGCGCGCCUCUCCUCGCACCCCCACCCUGAGUCCCCACACUCCGCGGGGCCACCGAGCUGCUGAGGCCCCUUUGCGGGCCCGCCGAGCGGUUCCGGGUUUAGGGUUCACAGGUCAGAGUUGACUCCCUGAAAAGUGCAGCCGGUUUGAAAUGCAAGAUGGCGGCGGCGUGGCGCUGAGAGGCGCGGCGGCCCCUGAGAAGACAGACUGCUGCUUUGGACCUGUUGGUAAUGAUGGCCUGAGCUAAACAUCUAACUAGAAGGGAUACCCUUCCAUUUCAAAGAACAGAAUGCUAAGGAAGCUGUGGCAAGUGAUUGGAGUUGUGCUUCAAAAAUUUCAGAAAUUCAGCAGUAUUUUAUCUGCCAACAAUAAGCUCUUUACUUGAUUGCACCAUGAGAAAGCUGCUAAUGAGACUUGUUGAGCACAAAAAUGGACUUGAAGAACCAAAAGCCAUUGUUUUCAAAUGAAGAACACUGAACAGUUUUAAGCCUCGAUGCUUUUUAAUCACCACUGAGCUUUUCCUCAUAACAUCAGAAUGGCAAGCAGGCGAAAAUCAACAACACCUUGCAUGGUCCUUGCCAGUGAACAAGAUCCAGACCUUGAGUUGAUAUCAGAUUUGGAUGAAGGUCCUCCUGUGCUUACACCUGUAGAAAACACCAGAGCAGAGAGUAUCUCAAGUGAUGAAGAGGUUCAUGAAUCUGUGGAUUCAGACAAUCAGCAAAAUAAAAAAGUUGAAGGUGGAUAUGAAUGUAAAUAUUGUACUUUUCAAACUCCAGAUCUAAAUAUGUUUACUUUUCAUGUGGAUUCGGAACAUCCCAAUGUAGUGCUAAAUUCAUCCUAUGUUUGUGUCGAAUGCAAUUUUCUUACCAAAAGGUAUGAUGCACUUUCUGAGCAUAAUCUGAAAUAUCACCCAGGAGAAGAGAAUUUUAAGUUGACUAUGGUGAAACGUAAUAACCAGACAAUCUUUGAACAAACAAUAAAUGAUCUGACUUUUGAUGGUAGUUUUGUUAAAGAGGAGAAUGCAGAGCAAGCAGAAUCUACAGAAGUUUCUUCUUCGGGAAUAUCUAUCAGUAAAACUCCUAUCAUGAAAAUGAUGAAAAAUAAAGUGGAAAAUAAACGGAUUGCAGUUCAUCAUAACUCAGUUGAGGACGUUC
rnacentral:lncRNA from 1 species